UGUUUAACGCGCCCUACUCAGUGACGCAAACGCCACGUGAGCAGCAGCACUGCCCGCGCCCACACUGUAAUGUCGCUCCAGGCUCGUGAAGUCGGUGUUGUAUUUGCCCUCCAGUCCGGAGACUGGAUACGACGGAUUCAGCUCCAACGCUCAACCGAAGAACACCAAUACCUCAUCUCGCGCCUGGGCGAGGAUUUCGGCCAGUGACAUUGAAGGUCCAACCUCCUGCGUCUUUUUAGCAUCAAAAAUACACAUAGAAAAUACGUUCCAGCACUACUCACUACAUGGAAAACAGGAUUUGCUAAGUUCAUUUUAUAUAGAUUAUAAUGGCCUGCAGACGAGAUAGAUACCUCACUAACCAAGAAAUAGAAGAAAUAAUAAACAGUGACGCAUUCUAUAAAGUGGUGUCAGAUGAUCAGGACCAUACUGAUAUCACCGUAUGUCCUCCUGAAGUAGACUAUAUGACCAGCAAAGAAGAAGGUCCAGACGAUGUUACUGGAACUGGGGAAGUCUCAGAUGUGCCAGGGGCUAUUGAAUAACAUUAACAUUAUGUUGCAUCAGGGAAUAACGAAGAAACUGUAUGUAAAACUUCACUGCCAAGUACAUCCCAAGUUUCCAGAAGUAAAUCGAAGAAUGGCCCUCUUAAUGUCUGGCUCUUCUACAUGGGAAAAAUGCACUGGAUUUACUGGAUUUAAGACGUGCUGUUACAGUUACAUACCUGAAAUUGGACGCUGGAAGACCAAAUAUUGGAUGUCCAAUGGAAUACCCAUCAAGUCAGUUGAGAGUGAUAUCAGACAUCAGGUUUGAUGGAAUUAGUCAUAUGAUUGACAUAAGAAACAUGCAAAGAAGAUGUGCAAGAGCUAAAUGCAAUGGGAAACCAAAAACAUAUUGUAUUACAUGCCGUAUAACACUGUGUGUGAAGUGUUGUGUAAUAUAAAUAGUUAAGACUUGAAUACAGUUUAGUAUGCUAUAUGAUACUGUUAUAUCCCAGGCUCCUAUUUUGAGGACAGCCAUUAUAUCAGCAUGUAUAAAUAUUCUUUG